rnacentral:rRNA from 1 species
UGAAGCGGCAAAAGCUCAAAUUUGAAAUCCCCCGGGAAUUGUAAUUUGAAGAGAUUUGGGUCCGGCCGGCAGGGGUUAAGUCCACUGGAAAGUGGCGCCACAGAGGGUGACAGCCCCGUGAACCCCUUUAACGCCCUCAUCCCAGAUCUCCAAGAGUCGAGUUGUUUGGGAAUGCAGCUCUAAGUGGGUGGUAAAUUCCAUCUAAAGCUAAAUACCGGCGAGAGACCGAUAGCGAACAAGUACAGUGAUGGAAAGAUGAAAAGCACUUUGAAAAGAGAGUGAAAAAGUACGUGAAAUUGUUGAAAGGGAAGGGCUUGCAAGCAGACACUUAACUGGGCCAGCAUCGGGGCGGCGGGGAGCAAAACCACCGGGGAAUGUACCUUUCGAGGAUUAUAACCCCGGCCCUUACUCCCACACCACCCCGAGG